GCACUCGUAGCUCAGUUGGAUAGAGCAAUUGCCUUCUAAGCAAUGGGUCACAGGUUCGAAUCCUGUCGAGUGUGCCA
rnacentral:tRNA from 1 species